rnacentral:rRNA from 1 species
AGAGUUUGAUUCUGGCUCAGGAUGAACGCCGGCGGUGUGCCUAAUACAUGCAAGUCGUACGCACUGGCCCAACUGAUUGAUGGUGCUUGCACCUGAUUGACGUUGGAUCACCAGUGAGUGGCGGACGGGUGAGUAACACGUAGGUAACCUGCCCCGGAGCGGGGGAUAACAUUUGGAAACAGAUGCUAAUACCGCAUAACAACAAAAGCCACAUGGCUUUUGUUUGAAAGAUGGCUUUGGCUAUCACUCUGGGAUGGACCUGCGGUGCAUUAGCUAGUUGGUAAGGUAACGGCUUACCAAGGCGAUGAUGCAUAGCCGAGUUGAGAGACUGAUCGGCCACAAUGGAACUGAGACACGGUCCAUACUCCUACGGGAGGCAGCAGUAGGGAAUCUUCCACAAUGGGCGCAAGCCUGAUGGAGCAACACCGCGUGAGUGAAGAAGGGUUUCGGCUCGUAAAGCUCUGUUGUUGGAGAAGAACGUGCGUGAGAGUAACUGUUCACGCAGUGACGGUAUCCAACCAGAAAGUCACGGCUAACUACGUGCCAGCAGCCGCGGUAAUACAUAGGUGGCAAGCGUUAUCCGGAUUUAUUGGGCGUAAAGCGAGCGCAGGCGGUUGCUUAGGUCUGAUGUGAAAGCCUUCGGCUUAACCGAAGAAGUGCAUCGGAAACCGGGCGACUUGAGUGCAGAAGAGGACAGUGGAACUCCAUGUGUAGCGGUGGAAUGCGUAGAUAUAUGGAAGAACACCAGUGGCGAAGGCGGCUGUCUGGUCUGCAACUGGCGCUGAGGCUCGAAAGCAUGGGUAGCGAACAGGAUUAGAUACCCUGGUAGUCCAUGCCGUAAACGAUGAGUGCUAGGUGUUGGAGGGUUUCCGCCCUUCAGUGCCGGAGCUAACGCAUUAAGCACUCCGCCUGGGGAGUACGACCGCAAGGUUGAAACUCAAAGGAAUUGACGGGGGCCCGCACAAGCGGUGGAGCAUGUGGCUUAAUUCGAAGCUACGCGAAGAACCUUACCAGGUCUUGACAUCUUGCGCUAACCUUAGAGAUAAGGCGUUCCCUUCGGGGACGCAAUGACAGGUGGUGCAUGGUCGUCGUCAGCUCGUGUCGUGAGAUGUUGGGUUAAGUCCCGCAACGAGCGCAACCCUUGUUACUAGUUGCCAGCAUUAAGUUGGGCACUCUAGUGAGACUGCCGGUGACAAACCGGAGGAAGGUGGGGACGACGUCAGAUCAUCAUGCCCCUUAUGACCUGGGCUACACACGUGCUACAAUGGACGGUACAACGAGUCGCAAGCUCGCGAGAGUAAGCUAAUCUCUUAAAGCCGUUCUCAGUUCGGACUGUAGGCUGCAACUCGCCUACACGAAGUCGGAAUCGCUAGUAAUCGCGGAUCAGCAUGCCGCGGUGAAUACGUUCCCGGGCCUUGUACUCACCGCCCGUCA